rnacentral:rRNA from 1 species
UAGUCAUAUGCUUGUCUCAGAGAUUAAGCCAUGCAUGUCUAAGUAUAAGCAAUCUUAUACAGCGAAACUGCGAAUGGCUCAUUAAAUCAGUUAUAGUCUACUUGAUCGUAUCUUCUUACAUGGAUAACCGUAGUAAAUCUAGAGCUAAUACAUGCUAAAAAUCCUGGACGCGGCAACGCGGAAGGGACGAGUUUAUUAGAUUAAAAACCGACACCUCUCCGCGAGGGGAGGUAGCACAGGUGAUUCACAGUAACCGAUCGGAUCGUCGGCCUCGUCGACGACGAUGUAUACGAGUUUCUGCCCUAUCAACUUUAGAUGGUAGAGUAUCGGUCUACCAUGGUCGUAACGGGUGACGGGGGAUUAGGGUUCGAUUCCGGAGAGGGAGCCUGAGAAACGGCUACCACUUCCAAGGAAGGCAGCAGGCGCGCAAAUUACUUAAUUUCGACACGGGGAGGUAGUGAUAAGAAAUACCAUUGUAAUGUCUCCUCGAGAGGCUUACGAUUGGAAUGAGUACAAUUUAAAUCCCUUAACGAGUAACGAUU